UUAGACCCUUCUAAGAAAAGUGCAGAUCUGUGAACUUGGGAAACAAAACAAAGAUGAACAUCUCAACAGACAGAGAGAGAGAGAGAGAGACACAGAGAGAGAGAGAGAGAGGGAGACAGAGUGAACGGACGCGGAAGACGGCAUGAGAACUGUAUCCGAGAAACCAACUGGCGGCUUCGGCAGUGGUGUCUCGAGGCAGGCUUCAGCUUCCUGGACAACGACCCGCACAUUACAACGAGGGACAUGCUCAGCUGGGAUGGGCUUCACCUGUCCCCCAAAGCCUCAAACUGGGGCCUCUGCAUACAACACAGGCCACUCAGCCCAGCCUACCAUCCUUCAGAUAAUUGCCCAGAUUGAGCCAGGACAGCCUGAAGUUUUCAGAAGAGCCUAACCUUUCUCCCAUAACCUGUCACCAGCACAGCCAGUUGGGAUCAGCCCAUUUUUUACUUCCUGCAUAUAAACCCCUGCACAGAAACAGGAAGCAUCUGGGCAGCUUACUUGGCUUGCUCCGAGACUCUGUUCAUGACUUGAUGUCCCAGCUUCUUGACUUGGCUGGUUGGUAACUUUGCUCUCCAUCUACUUCUCUGGUGCCCUUGACAUGGCAUACUCUUGGACUUCAUUUUCCAAUUGACCACCUGGUUCCUGGACCCAAUUUGUCUCUGAACUCUGCUGACCUGGCUGCCUACAUCCUGCCACGACAUAGUCAUUGCACCUAGUGACAUACAGGGUACCCGUAAUCUUAUACGCCUGACUCAUGAUAAAACUGUUAAACAGGAUAUAAUGUUUGUGAUGUAAAAAAAAAUACUGUUUUUUCUAUUCAUCUUGCAUAGUUCAGUUAUACCCAUUUAUUGCCUUUGUUUCUGCUUAGAUUACUUAUGCCACACACAUAAAAAUGAAUAACUGUUUUUUACUUUUACUUUUGAAUCAGUGUGACUUUAACAGCUUCUGAUUUUAAAUAGAUCAUACUUUUCUCAUAUUUUUUCUAAUAUUAUGCUCUUUCUUGCCUAUUUAGAUAAAUGAUUUUAUUUUUAAAGUCUCUAGUAUAUAUAUUUGCAUGCUUUAUUUUAUCUCAAAAUCAAGAAGACAGCCAUAAGGCAUGUUGACUUUAUAUCCUUCUAGGUUUUAUUAGCUGUAUGAAUUCUCAUUUAAGAAAGUUGUUUUGUUUUGUUUUUUAAUGUAUCUUGACACCAGACAAUAACUCUAAGUACAUCCUAAAAUGUUGGAUCUAUAGAAAUCAAUGCUGCAUUGAUUCCUAUAAUAUAAAAACCUUUUUUUGUAUUUUAUUACUGAGACUCCAUCAAAAUCACUGUCAACCUUUCCUAAACACAUCUCUGAGAAAGAAUACUCACUAGAACAUUAUAGUUUGAAAACAAUGGCCUAGGUCUUUUAGAGCUUAUCUAUAUUGCUACGGCAGAGUGUCCCAAGCAAGGACCAAUGAUGCUCUACUCAUCCAAGUCCACAGGCACAUGACAAACCUUGAAGUUUGCUAGUGAGGCUGUUCUGGAGGCUCCCCCACAUCCUUACCAACUUUCCACUCACCCCAGUAUCUGUUUUGGUCUGCUGGAUGCAGAGAACAGAAAAGGAAGUACAGAGGGAGAAACUUGGAACUGCCUCAUUGAUGUAUAUCCAGUUUGAAACUUUGGUGAGGUUUACGCGAUUCCUCCUCCCUCAUUGCUGGGGCAGACACCACAGUAGCAUUGACAAGCCAGCUAAAUCUGUCUUUCAUCAUUUGGUCUAUUUCUCAUUUAUAGAAGAUCUAUAAUAUUUCUAAUACUUAAGCACAAUAGGGGGAAAAAAACACCUGUUUUGAAUAAGGAAGGGAUAUUCAAUGGACCUUAAAGGAAGUAGAUCUCUCUGAAAUCCAGUGGUAGUUGGGUACCUAACUCUUUUAGGUUUCUUUAACAAUUCAAACCUAUAACACAGCAGUUAUCAAAAUCCUGAGGUUUAUUCUUGUACCUUCUGGGUCAGGUUCUGGCACCUUUACCAAUACUGGGUGCGAUUACAUGAGAUGCUUCAUGCACAGAACACUAAUUCUAUUUUGCUUUAGUGUGGCAAGCAAAGCCCAUGCUAAUGUACUAAUGUGCAGUAGAUUUAGUCUAAUGCACACUAGCACCACAAAAAAUGUUCAUCUGUGUUAAUGUGCAGUAGCACCUAUUAUAACACAUUAAGUUAGUACCUGUCAUUACAGCUACAAAACUUAAUGCGCCAUGAUUAUGGUGCAUUAAAGAACAUGUGGAUGUGCCCACUGAGUAGUAUCUCUACCUCUCCAAGCAGUUCUGUUAAAGUUAAACCAGUUGCUCAUUCAGUAAGAUUGCUCAUUCAGUAAGAUAAUACUCAUCAAGAAAACGUUGGCAAAAUCACUGCCUCUAUUUAGCCAAUGCUUAUUUUAUUACCAUAUGCACUGCAGUACUUCUGCAUCUAGAAUUUACUGUGAUGCUCAAAUUAGCAUUACCAUUAUACUUGAACAUUUUGUUUUCUGAAGAGCUUUUAUUUUAAUGUAUGCCCUAAAUUUUUCCUUCUCUGAUGCAGUCAUCUACCAUUCUGAUAUAAAAUCUUCUCUGUAACAAUAUUCUAUUGCAAGAGUUCUGGGCUUCAUCUUUUUAUUGUAAUUUUGUUCUGAAAAAAACAUGCAUGUAAGUAUGUCAGUAAGUUUAGACCAACGCCAGCUUGUUCUAAGAAUCUCUUCCAAUCUGUAAAAAAGUAAGGUUGUGCAUUGACUAAACAAUGGUGUGCAACUCUAUACUGUUGUAUGCAGCAGCCUGUUUGCACAUCCAUUUUAGACAGAAAAUGUAGGCACUUACACAUUUUGAUAUGAAACACUAAAAACAGCUUUCAGAAUUGUGGAGUCUGUAAACCCAGCAACAUAUUCACAGCCAUGAUAUAUCUUAAAGGUCUCAGGUUUGGGGAAUAAUGUUAAAAGGUCAGACAAAUCUAUCAACAGAUCAAUAUUCAAGUAAAAAGAAAAACCAAGACUAGGCUGAAAUCAGGGCUUGGGGGGCACACCUACACAUGCUAUUAAUGCACCUGAAUAAACUGUGGUACAGAUCAUGCCAGAGUUCAUUGUUCCUGGGCACAGCAUUUACAUGUGCACCCGGGACUGCAACAGUUGAGCCAGGAUGGUACAGCCUCAGGUGGCACAAGGUCUGGGAGCGUCAAUCUUCCAUCCUGGGGCUGCUCCACUGCAGUUCAAUGUGCUGUGGAGGGGCUGGCUGGGACAUGAGGGUACUACAGUAUGGGGCUAUUGGCAGGCAGUCCCUGCACUGUAGCACCCUCAUGCACCAGCCAGCCUGGUCACCAUCUACAUAUGUGAUUCAGUGGCAUAAAUUACUGUGUUGUAGGAUAGUACUUGUGUCAGACAGUAGUAUCUUACAGCAGAGUUAACUGGUUUACUCUGGCCUAUUGGCAUCAUGUGUGUAGUUGGUGAUGCUUUAUUGUGGAGCUAAUUAGGCAAUUCCACAGUAAAACACACUUGUAGAUGCACCCAGAGGGUUUGAAGAAAGUAGCAGGGAAGGCUAUUAGAUCCUUCGGAGAUUCUGGAAUAGACAUCCAUGAAACCAAUUCCCCUUCGUGAAAUUCCCCUGGAAAAUAUAAAGGAAAGGAAGCCUUUUUUAGGACUGGUUGGGAAAUAUUUUUCCCUGGAAACAUCUUGAAAAUAAAUAUUUCUGCUGUUGUUUGUUCUCUAUUUUUUCAUGUUUUACUUCAAACAUGCAUGCGCACACUCUCUCUCUCUCUCUCUGAAACCUUUGUAUGAAACUAAGAAAAAUUAAAGCCAGAUCAAAUUUAAGCAAAACGUUCAGGUUAAUUUUGUCUGAAGUUUUUCAACUUUCCAUGUACAUAUCUCUGUAUCACUUUUAAAAGGGGCAUAUAUUGUAGGACUCAUCGUCUUGUAUGUUCUCCAGGAAAAUAAAUAAUCCAGAAAGCUGAUCUGACCAGCUGACUAUUCCACUUGUUUGAAACAAUUCAAAGGUAGCAUACCUAAAAUCCUGUAUAACUCCUGUUCCAGAAAUGUAUUUAAGGCAGAGAAGAGGGAUGGCCAAAAAGAACUGCACCCCAGCCAUUCCUAUCUAGCAUACAGUUCCUCAAGGACAGGCAAGAUUUAAUGCUGUCUCUUUUUCUAUGGUGCUGUGUUUCUUGUCACAGCCAAGAAUCUGGCACAAAUAUGACUUCAUCUGAAACCCACACAGAUAACCAGCCCCAAUGUAUUAAAAUUAUUCAUUUUAAGUUUUGGGGGGUUUUAGUAUGUUUAUGAUGAAAUAAUCUAUUAAAUCUAUGGGAAGAAAAAAUAAUCCACCUUGUAAUUCUGAAGAGUCAAUUUAACUGAAUAAAGCAUACCAACAAACUAU